UUACAGCCAUAUCAAGUUGAAACAGCGAUUCUCAUACGAUCACCGAAGUUAAGCAACACCGAGUCUGGUCAGUAAGUGGAUGGGUGACCGCUUGAAAAUACCAGGUGCUGUAAG